ensembl:snRNA U1 U1 spliceosomal RNA
AUACUCACCCGGCAGGGGAGAUACCAUAUCACGAAGGUGGUUUUCCCAGGGCGAGGCUGAUCCAUUGCACUCUGGGACCUGCAGACCCCUGUGAUUUCCCCACCUGCGGGAAACUCGACUGCAUAAUUUGUGUUGAUGGGGGUUGCAUGCACGCUUUCCCCUG